AGUGCAUUAGGCUUAAAAUCUAAAAAUAAUAACAACUUAUUCUAUAUUA
rnacentral:tRNA from 1 species